rnacentral:rRNA from 1 species
UGCAGUCGAGCGAACAGAUGAGAAGCUUGCUUCUCUGAUGUUAGCGGCGGACGGGUGAGUAACACGUGGGUAACCUACCUAUAAGACUGGGAUAACUCCGGGAAACCGGGGCUAAUACCUGAUAAUAUUUUGAACCGCAUGGUUCGAUAGUGAAAGGCGGCUUCGGCUGUCACUUAUAGAUGGACCCGCGCCGUAUUAGCUAGUUGGUAAGGUAAUGGCUUACCAAGGCGACGAUACGUAGCCGACCUGAGAGGGUGAUCGGCCACACUGGAACUGAGACACGGUCCAGACUCCUACGGGAGGCAGCAGUAGGGAAUCUUCCGCAAUGGGCGAAAGCCUGACGGAGCAACGCCGCGUGAGUGAUGAAGGUUUUCGGAUCGUAAAACUCUGUUGUUAGGGAAGAACAAAUUUGUUAGUAACUGAACAAGUCUUGACGGUACCUAACCAGAAAGCCACGGCUAACUACGUGCCAGCAGCCGCGGUAAUACGUAGGUGGCAAGCGUUAUCCGGAAUUAUUGGGCGUAAAGCGCGCGUAGGCGGUUUCUUAAGUCUGAUGUGAAAGCCCACGGCUCAACCGUGGAGGGUCAUUGGAAACUGGGGAACUUGAGUGCAGAAGAGGAGAGUGGAAUUCCAUGUGUAGCGGUGAAAUGCGCAGAGAUAUGGAGGAACACCAGUGGCGAAGGCGGCUCUCUGGUCUGUAACUGACGCUGAUGUGCGAAAGCGUGGGGAUCAAACAGGAUUAGAUACCCUGGUAGUCCACGCCGUAACGAUGAGUGCUAAGUGUUA